rnacentral:rRNA from 1 species
GAUGAACGCUGGCGGCGUGCUUAACACAUGCAAGUCGAACGAUGAAGCUCAGCUUGCUGGGUGGAUUAGUGGCGAACGGGUGAGUAACACGUGAGUAACCUGCCCUUAACUCUGGGAUAAGCCUGGGAAACUGGGUCUAAUACCGGAUAGGAGCGUCCACCGCAUGGUGGGAGUUGGAAAGAUUUAUCGGUUUUGGAUGGACUCGCGGCCUAUCAGCUUGUUGGUGAGGUAAUGGCUCACCAAGGCGACGACGGGUAGCCGGCCUGAGAGGGUGACCGGCCACACUGGGACUGAGACACGGCCCAGACUCCUACGGGAGGCAGCAGUGGGGAAUAUUGCACAAUGGGCGCAAGCCUGAUGCAGCGACGCCGCGUGAGGGAUGACGGCCUUCGGGUUGUAAACCUCUUUCAGUAGGGAAGAAGCGAAAGUGACGGUACCUGCAGAAGAAGCACCGGCUAACUACGUG